rnacentral:rRNA from 1 species
AUUGAACGCUGGCGGGAGGCCUAACACAUGCAAGUCGAACGAGUGGCGGACGGGUGAGUAAUGUCUCGGAACCUGCCUGAUGGAGGGGGAUAACUACUGGAAACGGUAGCUAAUACCGCAUACUAUCAGAUCUGCCCAGAUGGGAUUAGCUUGUUGGUGGGGUAACGGCUCACCAAGGCAACGAUCCUUAGCUGGUCUGAGAGGAUGACCAGCCACACUGGAACUGAGACACGGCCCAGACUCCUACGGGAGGCAGCAGUGGGGAAGUUUGGACAAUGGGCGAAACCCUGAUACAGCCAUGCCGCGUGUAUGAUGAAGGCCUUCGGGUUGUAAAGUACUUUCGGCGGAGAAGCGUUACCCGCAGAAGAAGCACCGGCUAACUCCGUGCCAGCAGCCGCGGUAAUAC